GAGAGUCUUGAGGCUGGUUCUGUUUACAUUUUCUGCACUGGAACCAAAAGAAUAUAGAUGCAUAUUUCUGCAGAUUAGUACAAGAAAAGACCAAUUCACAACCAUUAAAUAAAAGUUCUGCAGGUCAAGACAAAGGCUGGAUCCUAAAAAGAGCUCAUGGAACGGAGUUGGUAGAAGAGGUCUUGUUCCCACCCUCAGCUGCUCAAGGCCACUAAAGGUCUCUCCUGAGGGUCAGAAGAUCCUCCUGGACAGGGAUUGGUCCCGAGGUCAAACCUUUCAACUGGAAAGGAUCUUUGCUUCAGAUUUAGCCACACUGACGUACAUGUGAAGCAUGCAUUGCUCCCUUUUGCAAAAGUUCUUCAUUUUGCCCCAGUGUUUUGACAUAUUUGUUGGAUGAUCACAGCCAAGACAUUGCCAUCAACAGGCAACAGACAAGGUGGCCACUAUCAUAAAACUGGAUCCAUAAAGGAAGAAGAAGAAAUGAUACUUGGAAGGGAGAAACAUCACAGGCAAAUA